rnacentral:rRNA from 1 species
UACGGAGGGGGCUAGCGUUGUUCGGAAUUACUGGGCGUAAAGCGCACGUAGGCGGCUUUGCAAGUUAGAGGUGAAAGCCCGGGGCUCAACUCCGGAAUUGCCUUUAAAACUGCAUCGCUAGAAUUGUGGAGAGGUAAGUGGAAUUCCGAGUGUAGAGGUGAAAUUCGUAGAUAUUCGGAAGAACACCAGUGGCGAAGGCGACUUACUGGACGAUUGUUGACGCUGAGGUGCGAAAGCGUGGGGAGCAAACAGG